rnacentral:rRNA from 1 species
UACGUAGGGAGCAAGCGUUGUCCGGAAUUACUGGGCGUAAAGGGCGCGUAGGCGGGGUUAUAAGUUAGGUGUGAAAACGUAGGGCUUAACUUUACGAUUGCACUUAAAACUGUAAUUCUUGAGUACAGGAGAGGAAAGUGGAAUUCCUAGUGUAGCGGUGAAAUGCGUAGAUAUUAGGAGGAACACCAGUGGCGAAGGCGACUCUCUGGUCUGUAACUGACGCUGAGGCUCGAAAGCGUGGGGAGCAAACAGGAUUAGAUACCCCGGUAGUCCCUGAGCGGGCUGGCAA